CACGCAGGGGGCGAGCGUUGUCCGGAUUUAUUGGGCGUAAAGAGCUCGUAGGCGGUUUGGCAAGUCGGGUGUGAAAUUUCGAGGCUCAACCUCGAAACGCCACUCGAUACUGCCAUGACUGGAGUCCGGUAGAGGAGUGCGGAAUUCCUGGUGUAGCGGUGAAAUGCGCAGAUAUCAGGAGGAACACCAACGGCGAAGGCAGCACUCUGGGCCGGUACUGACGCUGAGGAGCGAAAGCGUGGGGAGCAAACAGG
rnacentral:rRNA from 1 species